rnacentral:tRNA from 1 species
GGGAAUGUGGCUUAGUGGUAGAGUGCUUGCCUAACAUGCAUGAAGUCCUGGGUUCGAUUCCUCAGUACCA